rnacentral:rRNA from 1 species
CCAGAGAACUUAGCAGAGAUGCUUUGGUGCCUUCGGGAACUCUGAGACAGGUGCUGCAUGGCUGUCGUCAGCUCGUGUUGUGAAAUGUUGGGUUAAGUCCCGCAACGAGCACAACCCUUAUCCUUUGUUGCCAGCGGCUCGGCCGGGAACUCAAAGGAGACUGCCGGUGAUAAACCGGAGGAAGGUGGGGAUGACGUCAAGUCAUCAUGGCCCUUACGGCCAGGGCUACACACGUGCUACAAUGGCGCAUACAAAGAGAAGCGACCUCGCGAGAGCAAGCGAACCUCAUAAAGUGCGUCGUAGUCCGGAUUGGAGUCUGCAACUCGACUCCAUGAAGUCGGAAUCGCUAGUAAUCGUAGAUCAGAAUGCUACGGUGAAUACGUUCCCGGGCCUUGUACACACCGCCCGUCACACCAUGGGAGUGGGUUGCAAAAGAAGUAGGUAGCUUAACCUUCGGGAGGGCGCUUACCACUUUGUGAUUCAUGACUGGGGUGAAGUCGUAACAAGGUAAGCGUAGCGAG